GUGAUGUUAUCUAUGUCACGAAGAAAACAAGUAUAAAUCUAUAUUUCAAUUUAAUGUCAUCUGAGCAGAAAUAGCCUAUAGAGGAAUACUUCAGUGCUUCCAAUUGUCUGCAGAGGAAAUGACAAGGCUUGGUUGUUCUCACUUCCAUACCACAGAAGCACUUUCUCCAAUACUGAAAAGUCUAUCAAGUUGUCUGUCUCCACUUCUUCAGUGUAACAACUUGAGAGUGGGUUCUCCUUUCUUUCAAAAACAGUGAAACAUCUGUCCAAAUUUUAAUGAACUACUUUGACUUGUUUUCUGAUAUUGUUGUGACUUUGGGUUGGCAAAGAUCUUUUAGAUAAGAUAUCAAAAGCAAUUCAUGAAAGAAAAAAUUGCAGACUGGACUUCAUCAAAAGUAUGAAUUUUUC
rnacentral:lncRNA from 10 species